rnacentral:rRNA from 1 species
UACGUAGGGUGCGAGCGUUGUCCGGAAUUAUUGGGCGUAAAGAGCUCGUAGGCGGUCUGUCGCGUCGGUCGUGAAAACUUGGGGCUUAACCCUGAGCUUGCGGUCGAUACGGGCAUGACUGGAGUUCGGCAGGGGAGACUGGAAUUCCUGGUGUAGCGGUGAAAUGCGCAGAUAUCAGGAGGAACACCGGUGGCGAAGGCGGGUCUCUGGGCCGAUACUGACGCUGAGGCGCGAAAGCGUGGGGAGCAAACAGG